rnacentral:rRNA from 1 species
UACGUAGGGGGCAAGCGUUGUCCGGAAUCAUUGGGCGUAAAGAGCGUGUAGGCGGCUCGAUAAGUCUGCUGUGAAAGUCCAGGGCUCAACCCUGGAAGGCCGGUGGAAACUGUCGGGCUAGAGUCCGGAAGAGGCGAGUGGAAUUCCCGGUGUAGCGGUGAAAUGCGCAGAUAUCGGGAGGAACACCAAUGGCGAAGGCAGCUCGCUGGGACGGUACUGACGCUGAGGAGCGAAAGCGUGGGGAUCAAACAGG